CCUCAAUCUUAGCUGGCUCUUGCCAUUGCUUACCACACCCAACUCGGUGGCCCAAAUAUUGUACCUCCGCCAUACCCAUGUGACAUUUGUCUGGUUUCAAGGUUAAACCGGCCCCCUUGAUCCUGUCUAAUACUGCCCCUACGUGUUCCAGGUGCCUCUCAGGUAUCGCUGUAGAUGGCGAUAUCAUCUAGGUAGGCACACGCGUAAUCCUG